GAUGAACGCUGGCGGCGUGCUUAACACAUGCAAGUCGAACGAAGCACUUUAUUUGAUUUCCUUCGGGACUGAUUAUUUUGUGACUGAGUGGCGGACGGGUGAGUAACGCGUGGGUAACCUGCCUUGUACAGGGGGAUAACUGAUGGAAACGGCUGCUAAUACCGCAUAAGCGCACAGCAUCGCAUGAUGCAGUGUGAAAAACUCCGGUGGUAUAAGAUGGGCCCGCGUUGGAUUAGUUAGUAGGAGUGGUAACGGCCCACCAAGGCGACGAUCCAUAGCCGACGUGAGAGCGUGACCGGCCACAUUGGGACUGGGACACGACCCAAACUCCUACGAGAGGCAGCAGUGAGGAAUAUUGCACAAUGGGCGAAAUCCUGAUGCAGCGAGGCCGCGAGAACGAAGAAGUAUUUGGGUAUGUAAAGCGCUAUCAGCAAGGAAGAUAAUGACGGUACCUGGCAAAGAAGCACCGGCUAAAUACGUG
rnacentral:rRNA from 1 species